rnacentral:lncRNA from 1 species
CUGAGAGGUGCUGGGUGCAUUUCAUCCUGCGCGCUGAGUUCGUAUUGAGGAAAGAUCUUUUUGAAAGUUUCCAUCUUAGCUGUGCUGAAGGAAAAUGAAGACAGGGGUGUCUGCUCACACCUGGAUGAUCCAGAGAGAGAAAGCUGAUCCCACAGUCCUGAGGGCUGGUGCAGUGGCAGCAGAGGGAUAAACAGCAGGCGACUCUGUGGGUACAGAGAUAUGGGCUACGCGCUGGCAUCAUCACAGCCUGGGGUAUGCGGAGCUUUGCUUCAAUGAUGGAAACAGUUUCCUUCCCAUUGUCAGGGAUUCCAGGGAGUUUGUUGUUGUGGCCAGACAUGGGGUCCUGAUUAGAGAGGAGAGGGAUACAAGAAGGACAGACUGAGGCAAAAUUUCUAGAUAGCUUUAGACUAGAAACUUAGGGGCUUAGAUUUGAAUAAAUGUUCUAACGUUUGACGGCAGUGUGGUUUUAAUCCUGUCAUUUAUUCUCCCUGAGCCUUGUGUCUAAUCUUUGAAAUGGAGAUGACAACGAUGACAAUGAUGAUGAUGAUGACAAUGACAGCAAAUAGUCGUAGCCAGCACAAACAAGAGCAUGAAGCCUGCACACCCUGCAACAGGCCUGCGUCUCCUCCCAAAGCAAUGCCCCAAGCACAUCCUCGGACAUUCCCUGUCCUGGGUGGCCGGAGGGCAAGCGAAUGAGCUGUCCUCGUGAUCCUGGAUCCCUCCCUAGGAGAAAGAAACUAAGGCUCAGGGGUGCUCCUAACCGGCCCAAGCCACGGCUGAGAGAGAGUGGGCCAGACAUCUAUAAAGGACGAUGAUGAAAGCCAACCCAGCCCCUGUGACGCCCUUGGUUUUCAUCCAUGGCGUUAAAGCAAGAUAAAGACCUCGCAUGGGAAUAAAGUUUUCUGGGCUUGUAAGGGGAAGGAUGAUAAAUUACACUGUGGAAAACGGGGCCAGUGACUCACAGCUGGAGGUGCUGGGAUGAUCUAGAAGGGCUCAAGAGGCUCCCAUCUCCCAAACUGAAGACCUGGCCCCUCUCCUUCAAGUUUACAGUGGCUGAUGCAGCUGAGCGAGGAGCAGCUCUGGGGCCUGGGAGGGGAACAUCUCACUACAGGCAACGCUGGCUCCCCACUGCUGAAGAAGCUGGAAAUGGAUCUCUGUGGUUUUGAGCCAUUGCAGUUUCAAGUCUGCUGAUGACAGUGGCUGAACCUACACUAACACACAGAAUUCUGCCAACAACAAUAGCUCUGGGACAAAAUACAGACUGCCUUUUACUGAGACAUAUGUGAGGUCUGUGUGCCUGCAAUAGCUUCACCUACAUUCUAAGGCCUGGAAGAGCAGGGCUGUGAUUUGUGCUUCAGUAUUUAGGACAGCAUUUGCCUUUUCCCCUAGUUUAGUUAUGGAAGCAUUUGUGUAAGUCCUGGGUUCCUUCUUCCUUAAAUGUUUGAAAGGAUUCACUGGAAAACCCUUUCUGGCCUGAAUUUGUGUGUGUGAAGGUUUUCAAUCGAGUAUUUAAUUUCUCUAAUGCUUGUUACAAGUGAUCUCUUUGUCUGAUUAUUCUAUGUCAUUCUAAAGCACAAUCUUUAAAAAGUUGUGCUUUUCUGGGAAUCUGUCUGUCUUAUCUAAUGAUGCAAAUUCACUGACAUAAAGUUGUUCUGUUAUUAGAGAUUUUAUGAGCUGUGUGGUCUGUACUGAUGUUGCCUUCCAUGUUAUCUUGGUAGCUGAAAUUGUCUUUUUUCUUUUCUUUUUCAAAAAAAUCAGACUCUCCAGGGGUUUAUUUAAUUAAUUAUUCAAUUAAUUUGUUUUAAGAAACAACUCUUGACUUGAUUGACUGUCUCUACUAAACACUUGCUUCUAUUUCACUGAUUUCUGCCUGUGCACUUAUGUUGUUUUCUAAUUCUUGUACUGAAGCACUUAGCAUGGUGCCGGGUAGAGAGUAACUUAAACGUUAGCAUCACCACUGUAAAGAAAAGCCUCAACUCAGGGUGUCUGUUAUAAGAGAUUGUUAAACAUUAGAACUUUCACAACUUCUUUGGUGAUGAGGUCUCAGAAAACAUUAAAUCCAUUUGACCCAUUCAAACUUUUACUAUUAUCAUUAUACAUUAAAUCCAUGUAUAUUUGAAAGCAUAUGAAUAUAUAUAUUUGAAAAC